rnacentral:rRNA from 1 species
CAGGGAGGAAGCGAAAGUGACGGUACCUGCAGAAGAAGCGCCGGCUAACUACGUGCCAGCAGCCGCGGUAAUACGUAGGGCGCGAGCGUUGUCCGGAAUUAUUGGGCGUAAAGAGCUCGUAGGCGGCUUGUCGCGUCGGUUGUGAAAGCCCGGGGCUUAACCCCGGGUCUGCAGUCGAUACGGGCAGGCUAGAGUUCGGUAGGGGAGAUCGGAAUUCCUGGUGUAGCGGUGAAAUGCGCAGAUAUCAGGAGGAACACCGGUGGCGAAGGCUGAUCUCUGGGCCGAUACUGACGCUGAGGAGCGAAAGCAUGGGGAGCGAACAAGAUUAUAUACCCUGGUAGUCCACGCCGUAAACUGAGGGCACUAGGUGUGGGCGACAUUCCACGUCGUCCGUGGCGCAGCUGACGCAUU